UUCUGCCUGCCCGUUAGGACAUAAUAUAUUUUUUUUUCCCUUGCCCCGUUGCCCGUGGAGAAGGCUCGUCUUCCUCUUGCAGAAGCUCUCCCGCAUCCAGCUGCUCACGUCUGCAUCAGCUCCUCUUCCUCAUCCCUGUCGAGUUAUGACUUGUGACCUAAUUUUACUGAUGGCGGGUCAUUUUUGUCGUGAGAAAGGGAAGGCUCAAUGAGGCAGCACAUUAUUGUAGACAGGCUUUAGCAGUCGUCAUCUGCCCCAAUUAAUUGUCAUAGUAACCUUUGGGAAUGCGAUGAAGGUUCAUGGUCCAUUACAAGAAGUGAGUUACUUUGUUCUUUGAAGAGGAAAUCUGUUUUCUAUAAAUUCUAUAGAAUAACAUAGUGUGAUUUCUUUGCUAAUGUACUUUAAAUUUGGUUUUCUUUUUAUUUGUAUUAUUCUUGCCCUGUGUGCUUGAGUGUUGUAUGUUCAUCUUGGCUGCAAGCAUUUUGUGUUUUGAUCUUCUUGCUAGUGAUUAUAGUUUUCUGAAGUUUCUGGGUUUUUUACUGACCUUUAAUAGUUUAAUUAGGAAAAAUUGUUUUUGAGAACUUUUAUUCUGUUAUACUUUGUACAGAAAUUGGGAAGAAUAAAAAAAUACCAAAAUUGUUCAAAAAAUUCUGAAUUUUGGUUUUCUAAAAUCCUCUACUUCUGUAGAGUAAAAAUAUCCCUAGUUUUCAUAUCGGUUCUUUACAAUAUAAUGUCUUUUUAACCCAGAUUUGUGAACCUUUCAGAAAUCGAAAAGUCUGCCUCUGUUUUAUAUCCAAACACUUUUUUACUUUCGCUUUCUGCAGACAGCCUUACAUUCAGAGUCUAACAGUGUCCAAUCCCAUGAUUGUCAUCAUCAUUUCCCUAAUGAUUUUACGAAAGCCACUGCAUAGGACUGGUUUAUCCUGGGCUUCGUUCAAGGAAAGAGAAGAACUUAACCUAAACCUCUUGUAAAAUCAGUUGAUGACCUAACAUUUAUGAGAACUUGUCACCCUUAAACCAACCUUUUAUGUAGAAUAUCAUACUUUUGUGGGAAAGUUGGUGAAGUUCGUUCUUCUACUCAGUCUACCCAUCUUGUUUUGCAUUCACCCAUCUCUUUAGGGAGUAGAGCUUAUGCCUCCUGGUGAUAUACCAUUUGAUGUCAAGAACAUUUGUAAAAUAAUUUUUUUUUAAUUUUGCUUAAAAACAUUUUAAAAAUGUCUUCGCUCAUAAUGAUAUGUCUUUGCUUUACUCUUAGUAUCUUCUCGAGUAGGAGAAACUUUCAAGUUUUUGUUGUCAAUCAAUGGAAGAGGAAAGCUGAAAAAAUCCUGGAUUUGAACAAUAAGGAAAACUCCUAUGAAGCUGAGAAAGUCAAGACUAGGAAAUGCUAUUGACUCUGGUGUUCAAACAUUUGCAAGGAUUUAGCAUGAAAAUAUACUGAGGGAGAAGCCACAAUGCUCUGUAAGAUCUUGGCAGGUAGCAAAAUGAGUGUUGAGAGAUGGGCUCGGGGCUCGUGUAGUUGUUCCUCUGAGUCAGUAAUCAAGAGUACCGGGUAGGCAUAAAGCUGAUUUAUGUCUAUUUCGUGAAGAUAAUGACUUAUGAACCUUUGGCUCGUUGAAAACCCGUAAGGUGAAGCGGGUUGGACACGUGACAAAGCUACACAUAACCACCAAAGCAGUGGAGCUUCGUAGUAGCCUUUGAGGUGGUGAGGUAUUCCCUCAAAGGUGAAGGUCGGCCUGAAAAAAAAAAAAUCAAAGGAAAAAAAAAUCAAAAGGCAAAAAGCUGAAUGCAAAAAAAAAAGAAAAAAAAAAGAAAAAAAAAAGGUGUCUGCCAAGAGAUGAAAGACAUGAAGGCUGAACUCGCAGGAAUUGAAUGUAACGAUCUUUUGUGGAUGUGUGAAUUUGGGGUCAAUAUCUGCUCAUUUUUUUUGAUUACCUAAGAUGUCGAGGAUGAUUCCUUUAUGUUCACAUUUUGGAAAUUGAAAGAUAUCCCUUCUAAAGGUUCAACAACAUUGAUGCGAAAUGAAUCCUAAUCCUUGUAUGGUACUAUGGGUAAGUGAAUGACAUAUUAUUUGCACAACACGAGCACUUAAGUUUAUGAGUUAAAGUGACAAUUUUGAACUAUUUCAAAGUAAAAUUUGACAUCUCUUGUUAUGUUUCGAGGUUUUCUAGGCAUAAGAGGAACUAAACGAUCCCCUUUGGUCUUGAAAGGUGUUUGCCAUUUCAUUAACAAACCACUAGUCCGUUCAUAGAAUAGAUGAAACUCUUCAAACCUAGUCCACUCAUACUGAAUGUGACAAUUUGUCCAUCUUUUCUUUUGUCUUCAAAGAGAUCAUUUGGGAACCUGACCCAUAAUUCCAUCUUAACCGAGUGUCUUCAACCCGUUGAAAUGUCUUCAACCUGUUUUUCAAUGACAUAACCUAGACUUAGGGAGGAUCUCUUAUUGGUCGAUUUUGAACUGUGGCAUUUUUGAAAAAUUUUAUCCUUUAAAGUUGUAUGAGUUUUGUUCCUGGCUUCAUCUAAUAUUUGUCUUGGCUUGCA